UAACCGUAAGUGUGCAGACGGGUGAGUAACGCGUGGGAAUCUACCCUUUUCUACGGAAUAACGCAUGGAAACGUGUGCUAAUACCGUAUGUGCCCUUCGGGGGAAAGAUUUAUCGGGAAAGGAUGAGCCCGCGUUGGAUUAGCUAGUUGGUGGGGUAAAGGCCUACCAAGGCGACGAUCCAUAGCUGGUCUGAGAGGAUGAUCAGCCACAUUGGGACUGAGACACGGCCCAAACUCCUACGGGAGGCAGCAGUGGGGAAUAUUGGACAAUGGGCGCAAGCCUGAUCCAGCCAUGCCGCGUGAGUGAUGAAGGCCCUAGGGUUGUAAAGCUCUUUCACCGGUGAAGAUAAUGACGGUAACCGGAGAAGAAGCCCCGGCUAACUUCGUGCCAGCAGCCGCGGUAAUACGAAGGGGGCUAGCGUUGUUCGGAAUUACUGGGCGUAAAGCGCACGUAGGCGGAUAUUUAAGUCAGGGGUGAAAUCCCGCAGCUCAACUGCGGAACUGCCUUUGAUACUGGGUAUCUAGAGUAUGGAAGAGGUGAGUGGAAUUCCGAGUGUAGAGGUGAAAUUCGUAGAUAUUCGGAGGAACACCAGUGGCGAAGGCGGCUCACUGGUCCAUUACUGACGCUGAGGUGCGAAAGCGUGGGGAGCAAACAGGAUU
rnacentral:rRNA from 1 species